CAUUUUUGCUGUAAGUAAUUCUAGAUUGAGGGGGUAUUACAUAAGGUAGUUGACAGAAUGACUUCCUUUUAUCACCUGGCCACUACUAUUGCCUUAAUCAAGGCUUAAGAUGAGCUAUAGCUCAAUCAUAUACUAGCAUAUGUAUAUGUAGGUAUGUAUGCCACACAAAACAAGAAUAUAAUGUAUGUAUUUUUAUGAGGCAUAAUUUUUUCGUCAGCAUCGUUCAUGCAUCAAGUGGCAAGGCAGCACCAGAUCACCAUCCAUCAGGCAGCAUCCUCCUCCUCCUACCUUCUCAGGCCCUCCACAAUGUAAGUAGCAUAAAGAUCCCUGAAAAACGAAAAUGACGCAACAUCGGCUCGAUUGCGUACCACUCAAACAAUUCGUUCCUAAUUGCUCAUGUGGUGAAUAACACAUAUGUUGGUAGUGGAGGAGGAAGGAGAGAACUGACAUGGAGUGCUGGAUGGCCUCGUAGGCGUCCUCUGACGGCAGGAAGUCGUUGACGGCCACCUCCUUGUUC
rnacentral:rRNA from 1 species